AGCUGAAAUAAUGCUGUGUGUUAAAAAAAUGUUAACAAUUCUAAGAAGUUAUAAAAAUUUAUAAGUUGACUGAAUACUUUGGAAAUUUCUGCAUAUUUUAAUAUAAAUAGGUGCUGGCAGCAUGGGGAGCUGAGAGCAGUGAGAGUCCUGAGGACCAGGGCACCAGAGGAGGUCACCAGGAGCUGUCAUGCCUUAAAAGCCCUGCAAGAAAGAGAAAGGGAGAAUGAUUCAUUGGUUGAUGCAAGCCUCUGUAGAGGUUUGAGCCAACUGCUUUUGAUCUGGGAGCUUACAGAAUGGGAGUAGGCUGAAUCAAGCCUCUGUCAAGAGCCACUGCUGAAAUACUGAAUUAACAUACCCAAGACCAGCACAUCAGGAGGAUAGCCUUCUGCCAAGAAUGGUGUGGAGUUGAAUGAAAAGUGUGUGCCUUUUGAAGAACAGCAACUGAAAGAAAUAUUGAUGACUGCCAGGGCAUCUGCAGAAAAAGAUAAGAAAAUUACUCUACUACAGCAGUGAAAACAAAGGGGCUUUGUUAACACUUUCUUGUAGGUUGUAUAUAUUAAUAGUAUCAAGUAAAGUUUUGUAUUUUUUCAGAGAAACACACAAGGCCUUGAAUUGUAUUGUUUUAAUUGCAACUAACUGAAUGAAUUAAGUGGAAAAUCGCACACAGUGCUUUGAUUGUCUAAUUCUCUGUAUGUGAGGCUUUGGGAACAGUUUGUUAUUAUAAAAGAACAGCACUAACCAGAAAUCAGCCAACAUGUAAUUGCUAGGCUGAGGGGCAGUUUGGGGAAAGCUGAUACUUAUUUAUACAUUAUUAAAUAAAAUCACAUAAUAUGAGGAUCAUC